rnacentral:rRNA from 1 species
UACAGGAGGUGCAAACGUUGCUCGGAAUCAUUGGGCGUAAAGCGCACGUAGGCGGUUCGUUAUGUCGGAUGUGAAAGCCCUUGGCUUAACCGAGGAAGUGCAUCCGAAACUGGCGAGCUAGAGUACUAAAGAGGAUCGCGGAAUUCCCGGUGUAGAGGUGAAAUUCGUAGAUAUCGGGAGGAACACCGGUGGCGAAGGCGGCGAUCUGGGUAGAUACUGACGCUGAGGUGCGAAAGCGUGGGGAGCAAACAGG